rnacentral:rRNA from 1 species
GACAGAGGUGCCAAGCGUUAGGCGGAAUCACUGGGCUUAAAGCGUGUGUAGGCGGGUCGUUAAGUACCUUGUGAAAUCCCACGGCUCAACCGUGGAACUGCUCGGUAUACUGGCGAUCUUGGGCCACUUAGGGGCUAGCGGAACAAACGGUGGAGCGGUGAAAUGCGUAGAUAUCAGGAGGAACACCAAUUGCGAAGGCAGCUCGCUGGGACGUUACUGACGCUGAGACGCGAAAGCGUGGGGAGCAAACAGG